rnacentral:rRNA from 1 species
UACGAAGGGGGCUAGCGUUGCUCGGAAUCACUGGGCGUAAAGCGCACGUAGGCGGAUUGUUAAGUCAGGGGUGAAAUCCUGGAGCUCAACUCCAGAACUGCCUUUGAUACUGGCGAUCUUGAAUCCGGGAGAGGUGAGUGGAAUCGAGUGUAGAGGUGAAAUUCGUAGAUAUUCGGAAGAACACCAGUGGCGAAGGCGGCUCACUGGACCGGCAUGACGCUGAGGUGCGAAAGCGUGGGGAGCAAACAGGG